GAAUCCCCUGAAAAGAUGAAUGUGUUUACAUAAAGGACAAGACAGUAAGGCCCAGCGAUACAGGACCACUGAUUUGAUUGACAGCUGGCUGGCUGAGAUGCAGCUCCUGGAAAUGAAUCAUAUUUUCACGCUCCUGAGUAGCACUGGGAGUCAGGGAAGGUAAACACAUGCAAAGCCGUAACCCUGUUCUCUAGAAACAGAGAGCUCCUACGAAAGAUAGCUCUAAAUUCAAGCAGGCUUAAUAGAUGGCUGUGGAAAAUUGCAGAUCUAACAGUAUCAUCAAAUAGCUUUCUAGUUUCGAGAGACUUGCAGGUUAUCAUUGAAUUAGUUUUACCAUUUGAGAGAUUCCCAAAAUCCAGAUUCAUUCUCACUGGUACCAUCACUUAGUAGAUCUUCAUUCAUCAUCUCUAGCUUUUUCUGAACCUGUAAAGCAUAACAUUGUUUUAGUGAGCAGAACCACAUAUUGGGCAGCAGUAAUGGCACACUAUUUUGACACUGGCUCUGUUCAUAUCCACUUGAAUUACACCCAGUGGGCUGGCAGGUAACCCAAGCUGACUGGAGAAACAGCUCAGUAGUGGACGGACAUUUUCAGAAAGGAUUCAAAGCUGUUUGCAGACAAAGGCAUGUUAGUCUAGAUAGUUCUAGAAGUGUUCAGUGACCAUCCUUGAUGAUGGAGACUGGUAAAGAAAAACCCUCAAAGAAACCAACCAAACCCCCCCGCAAAAACCACAACACCUCCACCAGUUUCUGUUUCCAAGAGAUACAGUUGGCCACUUGAGACUCCAAAGCAGAUGGAGUCUAGACAAGGCAGCAGAUCAGGAGAGCAUCCCAGAAUUACUCUGCAAGUAAAUAAUGUGAUGAAGUGUGAACCAGAUGUGUUACAACCAUCACUUAUCUAUCAGUGGUCCUCCUUAAACUUUUGAGCUGUGUCAUUAUCUGAUGGGCUACGUGAAGAGACAGUAAAUUACUAAUUUGCUUGUAAGAAGGGAUCAUCAGGCCUUAAUCAAAGCUUCUUCCCCACUAUUGGUCAAACAGUGUUUUUAAAAAGGAACUCCAGUUUUUAAACUCACCUUCACUUUAAUAAUUUUGCUCUUGAAGUUGUUGAGAACAACAAUAACUUCGCUGGCUUCAGGUGGAGAGUCUGUGCCAUCAUGGCUGAAAAUACAGUAAAAUACGAACCUUUACCACAAAGCAGCAAUAUGUUCUUUGUUUCUUCUACACAUUUUUCUACAUGGUAUUAAGCCUUAGCCAGGUUUGAGAUAUGUGACAAAGUAACAAAUACAUGUAUUUGAACAUACAGGUUUUUAAAUGAAUUAAUUCUCACAUAAAUAUGUUUGGUAUGAAAUGUAAUUUGCUGUUCAGUCCACUACACUUUGGCAAGGGAACAGUUAGAUUCACAUAGGACAAUGCCUGCCUGUUUCAAAAGUUUCACAAGACUGAAUUUACCUGUAGAUUCUGUAGAUAUCCUCAGAUCUGCCCUUUCUCAGUCUUAGAGUCCAUGCACCAGGAUUGGCUUUUAACUGGAAGUAACCCUGUAAAGCAAAAAGAAUAUUUGUUGGUUUCCAGAAAAUGCAAAUGUAGAACAGCUUUUAAGCCAUCUUAUUUUGACCAACUGUUUUAUAUCUGAAAAUAGUUAUUUGUAAGACAGCUCAUUAACAUAACCUUAUGGCCUUAAAACCCAGAGAACAGGAGAAAAACUCAAGAAGUUCCAUUCAGAAUUGUUGUUUUUUCCAUAAGAGACAGGAGUAUGAAUAGGUCUAGCAUUCUACAUUAGAUGAGAGUAAGUAUUCAGUGUGUCCUGAUCAGAACAGUGCAACCCCCUUCCAUGUUUUUUUUCUGCAGAAACUUGCUUUCAUGAAGGACAGAGUGAAUUUCAAAACACUCAUUGGUUACUACACAGCAGCAUGCAACAAGUCUGCCUACAAAACAAAAUCUAAAUCAACUUUGCAGCUCUACAGACUGGAAACAGCAGGAAACAGUAAUAUUAUUCAUAUGUUACAAGCUCUCUCUCUUCUACAGAACUUAAAAUGCAAUGUGAAAUUCAAAUAUUGUAUACAAGUCUUGUUGAAGUUUCAGGUUCUAGAUACGAAUAUUUUCUUCUGCGAUUUAGAUAAUUACACCAAUAGAAGAUACAAACAUUAGUAGUGAUGCUUCAGUGUCCUGUCCAGUUUUGUAGCAUGACCCCAAAUGCAUGCAGUUCCGUAUGUGAACCAGUGUGCUUUAAAACAAAAGAAGAAAGAAGCAAAGGGCACAUUCCUGGCCUCUCAUACCCCUUCCCAGUAUGGACACUGACCUGAGGAAGAGGAUUCCCAGACACAGCCUUGUUACACUGUGGUACACACACCUUGGUUUCACUAAUUCGAAAAAAAAGACCCCUCUAAGCCAUUAACUUUACUCCUUAACAUACACACACACAAUGUGAUCAUAAAAUGAGAGUCAUCUUCCUUUCUACAAUAAGAAAUAUUACAUCCUUAUAGGAUGUACUUUGGCUAAGAAAAGGUGCAGAGAAAUAGAAAAUUAGUGUAAGAAUUCAAAAACAAGAGAGAAAACAUCAGAGAAUAUUUUUCCUUGCUUUUUCUUUAACACAUUUGAAGAUCCCAAAACCCAAUUUAUUCCAGCUUUUCACUAACAUUAGGUAUCAAGAAAAUAUUGCAGUGGCCAACUUCCCUUGCCAUAAUAUCAGUCCAUUGCCUCCCUCAUUGCCCAGGGUGGACACUGAAAACAGACCGAUCCCUUACACAGCUACCUUAUAAAGGCAGCUGUAGGCAACAAUCAUAUACUUGGAUUUCUGUCACCUUUUCUCAACUAAAUUAAGCAAUUCGCAUUCUCCACACUUCCUGUGUUUUCUAGAAAGUCAAUUGUUCCUGCUGACUCUCUGCAUUUGUUCCACAGAUCUCCUGCAGAAAUGGGUCCCAAAACAGGACAAGUGCCCACCUGAGGUGUACAGGACCAGAGUGGAUGAUCUAAGGAACACUGUCUAGAAAAAACAGAACUGUCUGAUCUUCCCUGCAAAGAGACUGCUUAAGAAUACUGGCAUUGUUUUAAGAUAUUCCCAAAGACUUUUCUGAGCAAGCUGAAGGGACAGGAGUACAUCUUGAAAAAGAAAUAAUCCCUGGAAAACCACCAUCAUGUGGGACAGGAUUUGGCUGGCAUCAGCAAAACUCCCAGCACUUAUCAAUUGAUAAAAGGAAACGUGCUGGAGCUUGUUGGUCACAGACCCUGGUGACGAAAAACAGAAACAGUACUUAAAGACAGGAUGUGCUAAACCCUUUGUGUAGAUACGAAUUACGAGUUACUAAGGUUGUCAAGAAGGAAUUGCUGCUGCUGCUACACUAAGGAGAGUGCAUUAAUCAAGAUAGCAACUGCCUAAACAAACAUUAGCCAAUCAGUAGGUAUCUAGCAAGAAUAACAAACCAAUCAGCGUGUGACGCGCUGUUUAGGAUAGGUAUAAAAUAUGUUAGAAAUUACAAUAAAGUUGACAUUUUGCUUGCA